AAAAAAUUAGUUUAUUAACAAAACAUUAGUAUGUCAAACUAAAAAAAUUGGUCUUCUAAUAUUUUUUA
rnacentral:tRNA from 1 species